UGAACUCAGUAACCAAAGAGCAAGACAUGCUUGUGAGCAGAGCUCAAGAGCUCUCGCCUUUCUCCUCUUCCACUCUCACUCUCACUUCUUCCUGUAAUUUCCUCUCAACACUCUGCUCCUCAAACCCAUUUCUCUCCUUCCCCAUGCGCUCCUCUCUUUCCUUCCUGCGCUCCCUCUCUCUCUCCCUCUCUCACCACCAGCCCCACCACUUCCACCGCCACUUUUUCUUUCGCGCAAUUUCAACCCCACUUUCCUCUUCUUCUCCAAAACCCCAGAAAUAUUUUCCUCGCCUUGCUGCUGCCUCUGCCUCUUCUUCUCACAGUACUUUCGUCGAACACUUGGCGUGCGAACCCGAAACCAAUGACAAUUAGGAUUUUAAUAACAGUAGUGAGAGCGAGGCAGCUUUUGAUUUUGAUAAGAAUGAUGGGUCUUUGGAUUUGAAGCAUUUGCCGUCGCUGUCUCUGGAUGUGAAGGAGCUGGAAGAGCUACCGGAGCAGUGGAGGCAGUCGAAGCUGGCGUGGAUUUGUAAGGAACUGCCGGCACAUAAGGCCGGAACACUUGUUCGGAUACUCAAUACGCAAAAGAAGUGGAUGAGGCAAGCUGAUGCUACUUAUGUUUCCGUGCAUUGCUUGCGGAUUCGCGAGAAUGAGGCUGGGUUUAAGGGACAAGGGGCCCAAAUGCACUUUUGGACCUUGGGCCAUGUCCGUGGAGGCUCAAUGGUCCAAGGGUAGGUCAGUAGAUGGGAAAAUGUAAGAUUGUAAAGUUUCAUGAGUAUGUUAUAGCUGUAAAGGCUGGGGAAGGUGGUCCGAGGAUGAAUAUCCCCUCGGAUAAAUGAGGUAGAGGUCAAAAUGUGUGUCCUAUCGACCAGGGCGACGUUUCAAGAGGUUCUAUUGAUAAAGACAUGCAUCAUAGACGUAUAGGGGGAAUGGGAGCUAGGAAAUAUCUAAGGGAAGGCUGCUGCCACUACAUUAAAUACUCUGCAACUAACUUUCUAAUUGCAUUUAUGUGGAGAAAACUUCUGAACAGUGCUCCCUUGGUUACCUUAACUCACAAAGGGUAGAGAGGGUGUUCAAUGGGACAAACACUCAAGUAAUGGCUCGGAUGAUCAAUAAGUAGGGGUCAAGAUCAUUAAAAGGGAGAUAUAUAAUGUAAGAGACUCAUGAGGAAAAGGGGAUCGAGAAAUUAAGAGAGAAAUACUGUAGCAGUCGGGAACUAAAUUUGUAACCAAACUUUUGAAUAACAUAUAAGAAUUGAUCUCCUUAGAUUGUGUCGA